AUGCACUUCGUGUUGGGACCGCUACUGCGUCAUGGUGUUCUUGUUUUCAUUGAUGACAUUCUGGUUCAUAAUGAAACUCUAGAGGAGCACAUCAAAUUGCUUCAGCAAGUGUUUGAACUGUUGGAGAAGCAUCAAAUCAAGGUGAAGUUAUCUAAGUGCAAGUUUGACCAGCAACAACUCACCUACUUGGGGCAUGUCAUCAGUGAGAAAGGGGUCACCACUGACGAAAAGAAUAUCGCGGCAGUCAGGGACUGGCCAAUACCCACUGGUGUGAAGCGGAUCCGAGGAUUCCUUGGUCUGGCGGGAUAUUAUAGGCAUUUUGUACGUGAUUUUGGGCUAAUCAGCCGGCCGUUGAUGAAUCUGCUGAAGAAGCACUCGAUCUUUGUGUGGUCUGCAGAAGCAGACGAAGCUUUUAACCAUCUGAAAAAGGCGCUGAUUACUGCCCCAGUGUUGGCGCUCCCUCGUUUUGAUAGACCUUUAGAAAUUGAGACAGAUGCGUCCGAGUUCGGGGUUGGGGCUGUGCUGAUUCAAGAUGGGCAUCCAUUAGCUUUCCUCAGCAAAGCACUAGGACCAAGGAACUGUGGCUUGUCAACUUACGAGAAAUAA
rnacentral:rRNA from 1 species